rnacentral:rRNA from 1 species
GCGGUAAUACGUAGGGUGCAAGCGUUAAUCGGAAUUACUGGGCGUAAAGCGUGCGCAGGCGGUUAUGUAAGACAGUUGUGAAAUCCCCGGGCUCAACCUGGGAACUGCAUCUGUGACUGCAUAGCUAGAGUACGGUAGAGGGGGAUGGAAUUCCGCGUGUAGCAGUGAAAUGCGUAGAUAUGCGGAGGAACACCGAUGGCGAAGGCAAUCCCCUGGACCUGUACUGACGCUCAUGCACGAAAGCGUGGGGAGCAAACAGGAUU